rnacentral:rRNA from 1 species
CACGUAGGGCGCAAGCGUUGUCCGGAAUUAUUGGGCGUAAAGAGCUCGUAGGCGGUCUGUUGCGUCCGCUGUGAAAUCUCGGGGCUUAACCCCGAGCCUGCAGUGGAUACGGGCAGACUAGAGGUAGGUAGGGGAGAAUGGAAUUCCCGGUGUAGCGGUGAAAUGCGUAGAUAUCUGGAGGAACACCGGUGGCGAAGGCGGCAUCCUGGACCAACACUGACACUGAGGAGCGAAAGCCAGGGGAGCAAACGGG